GACGAACGCUGGCGGCGUGCCUAAUACAUGCAAGUAGAACGCUGAAGGAGGAGCUUGCUUCUCUGGAUGAGUUGCGAACGGGUGAGUAACGCGUAGGUAACCUGCCUGUUAGUGGGGGAUAACUAUUGGAAACGAUAGCUAAUACCGCAUAAUAGCAGUUGUUGCAUGAUAACUGUUUGAAAGGUGCAAUUGCACCGCUACCAGAUGGACCUGCGUUGUAUUAGCUAGUUGGUGGGGUAACGGCUCACCAAGGCGACGAUACAUAGCCGACCUGGGAGGGUGGUCGGGCAACCUGGGACUGAGACACGGCCCAGACUCCUACGGGAGGCAGCAGUAGGGAAUCUUCGGCAAUGGACGGAAGUCUGAACGGGCAACGCCGCGUGAGUGAAGAAGGUUUUCGGAUCGUAAAGCUCUGUUGUAAGAGAAGAACGAGUGUGAGAGUGGAAAGUUCACACUGUGACGGUAUCUUACCAGAAAGGGACGGCUAACUACGUG
rnacentral:rRNA from 1 species